AUUGAACGCUGGCGGCAGGCCUAACACAUGCAAGUCGAACGAGUGGCGGACGGGUGAGUAAUGUCUGGGAAACUGCCUGAUGGAGGGGGAUAACUACUGGAAACGGUAGCUAAUACCGCAUACCCUCGGAUGUGCCCAGAUGGGAGUAGCUUGUUGGUGGGGUAACGGCGCACCAAGGCGACGAUCCCUAGCUGGUCUGAGAGGAUGACCAGCCACACGGGAACUUAUACACGGUCCAGACUCCUACGGUAGGCAGCAGUGGGGAUUAUUGCACAAUGGGCGAAAGCCUGAUGCAGCCAUGCCGCGUGUGGGAAGAAGGCCUUCGGGUUGUAAAGCACUUUCAGCGGUGAGGCGUUACCCGCAGAAGAAGCACCGGCUAACUCCGUGCCAGCAGCCGCGGUAAUAC
rnacentral:rRNA from 1 species